UACAGAGGGUGCGAGCGUUAAUCGGAAUUACUGGGCGUAAAGCGUGCGUAGACGGUAGCGUAAGUCAGAUGUGAAAGCCCCGGGCUCAACCUGGGAACUGCAUUUGAGACUGCUCUGCUCGGGUGCGGAAGAGGGAAGCGGAAUUUCCGGUGUAGCGGUGAAAUGCGUAGAUAUCGGAAGGAACACCAGUGGCGAAAGCGGCUUCCUGGUCCGACACCGACGUUCAGGCACGAAAGCGUGGGGAUCAAACAGG
rnacentral:rRNA from 1 species